CUACGUAGGGUGCGAGCGUUAAUCGGAAUUACUGGGCGUAAAGCGUGCGCAGGCGGUGAUGUAAGACAGAUGUGAAAUGCCCGGGCUCAACCUGGGACCUGCAUAUGUGACUGGAUAGCUAGAGUACGGUAGAGGGGGAUGGAAUUCCGCGUGUAGCAGUGAAAUGCGUAGAUAUGCGGAGGUACACCGAUGGCGAAGGCAAUCCCCUGGACCUGUACUGACGCUCAUGCACGAAAGCGUGGGGAGCAAACAGGAUUAGAUACCCUGGUAGUCCACGCCCUAAACGAUGUCAACUGGUUGUUGGGUCUUCACUGACUCAGUAACGAAGCUAACGCGUGAAGUUGACCGCCUGGGGAGUACGGCCGCAAGGUUGAAACUCAAAUGAAUUGACGGGG
rnacentral:rRNA from 1 species